GCCCGGCCCAGUGAGUACAAGGGCAGGGCAGAUGGAGACUGUGCAGGCGCGGAAAGUGAGACUUGUAGGCAAGCGAUUGCCUGUUGCUGCGCAGCUAGACGGAGUUUCAUUCUUGUUGCCCAGGCGCAACGGCGCAAUCUCUGCUCACCGCAACCUCCGCCUCCCAGGUUCAAGUGAUUCUCCUGCCUCAGCCUUCUCCAGCAGCUGGGAUUACAGGCAUGCGCCCCCAGGCCCGGCUACUUUUGUAUUUUUAGUAGAUACGGGGUUUCUCCAUGUUGGUGAGCCACCGCGCCCGGCAGUAAAAGAAGUUCAAAAAUGGCCUUUGCUGUAGUUUAUGGAAAUCAUAGAGCAUAUUCAUGUUAGAAACUUUCCUUAUUUGUUCAGUGAUCAUUGGUUGUCUGCUCCUAUUUAAAGUUAUUUAAAAACCCGUGGGUAGCAUUGAAGACUAUCAGGUUCAUUAAAAUGACUGGGCCAUUUCUU
rnacentral:lncRNA from 1 species